rnacentral:tRNA from 1 species
GAGAGUAUAGCUUAGUGGUAGAGCGCAUGCUUGGCGUGCACAAGGUCCUGGGUUUAAUCCCCAGUGCCUCCG